rnacentral:rRNA from 1 species
CCACUAGCGUAUAUUAAAGUUGUUGCAGUUAAAAAGCUCGUCGUUGACUUUUGGGUCUGGCCGGGCGGUCCGCCUUCUGGGUGAGUACUGUUCCGAUGUCGGACCUAUCCUUCUGGUGAGUCGGCAUGCCCUUUACUGGAUGUGUCGGGGAACCAGGACCAUUACCUUGAAAAAAUUAGAGUGUUCAAAGCAGGCGCAUGCUCGAAUACAUUAGCAUGGAAUAAUGAAAUAGGACGCGUGGUGCUAUUUUGUUGGUUUCUAGAACCGCCGUAAUGAUUAAUAGGGAUAGUUGGGGGCAUUAGUAUUCAAUUGUCAGAGGUGAAAUUCUUGGAUUUAUUGAAGACUAACUUCUGCGAAAGCAUUUGCCAAGGAUGUUUUCAUUAAUCAAGAACGAAAGUUAGGGGAUCGAAGACGAUCAGAUACCGUCGUAGUCUUAACCAUAAACUAUGCCGACUAGGAAUCGGGCGAUGUUAUUUUCACGACUCGCCCGGCGCCUUAUG